ensembl:lncRNA
CUUCAGAUCCACUGAGAAGCCACCAACCAGGGUAAAAAUGGCGGUGGGAGUUGAGCACCGAGAGUGUGAAGGAGAGAGGCCAGGAAGACAGGUCUUUCCUUAGCGGAGACAAGCAUCAUAUGAAUACCCAGAUAACUGGAAAUACAGCCAACUUUCUGUGGAUUAUUCUUGUGUCCAGAAGCAGGCCUUCAGGCCUGGGUGGUUCCUCAUAACAAGGGCAGCUCUGCAUACUUCAAAGACACAGUCCCAGUGCCAGCGGGGAGCCCUGUCUCGCUCUGACGUCCUCCACACCAGCCAGAACACCAGGCCCACACAGUCCUGCUUCUUCUUGAGACUCUUUGUGAGUCCUCUAGGAUCCUGGGAUUUUCAAGGUUUUCUCUGAUCCUCCACACAGAGAAUACGACUUUUCAAU